GAAGCCAUCCCACGCCCACCCUUGUGCGCCAAAUAUCUGGAUAAAAAUAAGUUGGUUGGCCAUUCAAAUUCAAAAGAAAGUUUGAAUUUGAAUGAGCAACCAACUAAUCCAUGCGCCAUGGUCUUAUCUUGUGCGCCCCAUAUUUUACACGAAAAAAUAUUUCUCGUGUAAACUCUCAAUGCACAAAUCAACUCACGCCCCUUCUCUUCUCACGCACAAGUGGAUAGGGAUGAGUUGGUUUUGCAUUUGAAUUCAAAUUUGAUUUGAAUUCAAAUGUGCAACCACUUAUCUUUAUCCUCUCACGCGGAUAAGACACGUUCGACGUUGUUUUAAAAAGAGGAGAAAGGUGGGAUGUGCAUAGAAAUUUUAGGAGAUAAACUUUGGGGCGUGAGGAAAGUUUGUGCAUAAGGUGAAGGUCCAAAACCUUCCGAGAGAAAAAGAAAGAAAAGAAAGAAAAUUGAGCGUAGGGUUUCUAGUGUGUACCUUAGGGUUUCUACCUAGGGUUUGAGAAGUGAGAUUGGUGUGCCACGAUUGUCG
rnacentral:lncRNA from 1 species